rnacentral:rRNA from 1 species
UACGUAGGUGGCGAGCGUUGUCCGGAUUUAUUGGGUUUAAAGGGUUCGUAGGCGGUCCUAUAAGUCAGUGGUGAAAUAUCGCAGCUCAACUGUGAGGGUGCCAUUGAUACUGUAGGACUUGAGUGAAUUUGAGGUAGGCGGAAUUGACGGUGUAGCGGUGAAAUGCUUAGAUAUCGUCAAGAACACCGAUAGUGAAGACAGCUUACCAAGCUUCAACUGACGCUGAGGCACGAAAGUGUGGGGAUCAAACAGG